GUCUGGAUGGCACAGUGGUCAGUGCGUCUGCCUGCUAUAGCAGGAGGUCCAGGUUCGAAUCCUAGUCUGGCACA